rnacentral:misc_RNA from 1 species
AAUUCUCAACUCCCUUUGAUUUCUUCAAUGGUGAGCUUGGAUUGUGGAGGCCUGCUGGCUGUAAAGUCAGCUCCUCUGAAAUGCAUUGGCAAAGGCGUGUGCAUUAAUCGGCCUUUCGGUGUGAUAAUGAUCACCGUGGCUGGCUUGCUAUAAUGCCUAUGUCUGCCUUCUUUUCCAUUCACUUGGAUUAGAAACCCCACUUGACA